rnacentral:rRNA from 1 species
CCUACGGGGGGCUGCAGUGGGGAAUAUUGGACAAUGGGGGCAACCCUGAUCCAGCCAUGCCGCGUGUGUGAAGAAGGCCCUCGGGUUGUAAAGCACUUUCAGUGAGGAAGAACGCCUGGUGGUUAAUACCCAUCAGGAAAGACAUCACUCACAGAAGAAGCACCGGCUAACUCCGUGCCAGCAGCCGCGGUAAUACGGAGGGUGCGAGCGUUAAUCGGAAUUACUGGGCGUAAAGCGCGCGUAGGUGGCUUGAUAAGCCGGUUGUGAAAGCCCCGGGCUCAACCUGGGAACGGCAUCCGGAACUGUCAAGCUAGAGUGCAGGAGAGGAAGGUAGAAUUCCCGGUGUAGCGGUGAAAUGCGUAGAGAUCGGGAGGAAUACCAGUGGCGAAGGCGGCCUUCUGGACUGACACUGACACUGAGGUGCGAAAGCGUGGGUAGCAAACAGGAUUAGAUACCCCGGUAGUA